AUAUGGUUGGAACACCAUUGAAGAUUUGUAAGCGCGGUUGUGACGCAGGAUCAGCAUUGCCAAGUGUUGUUUAUGCAGCUCCUGCAUCUGCUGUUAUGCAUGUGCUCUUCUUGGUUUCAUAAAUAGCCUGAAUCCUAAACGGAAGAAAGAUCCACGAAGAAGUAAUCGGGUGUAAGCUUUGGUGUUUGGGGUCAUCGGUUUCGAAGAUGGAGCUUGGAACGUACCGGCAGUCAAGUCAAUUUUCUGAAUUCAGCACCUGUGCCUGUUUUGCCAUCUAAUUUUGUGCCAUUUAGACUCUGAAUUUGGAAGUUGUAAGGAAAGAUGAUGCUGGUAAUGUGAUUGUCCAGUGCAAAUCAAAUUGGUUGCAUUUCAUCACUGUUUAUUUGCAGGAAGUUAAUGGAAAGAUGAUGCUCUUGGUGUUUGACAUUCCAAGAGGGAGCAGGUGGAACUAAAGCUUGAUUAUAUAUGGGAACGGAUGCAGCUGUGGACCUCCCUACGAGUUUCAAUUGGCAAGUAUGCUCGCUUAGGGCUGGAGCAAUGACCUGAUUUGAGCUAGGUUGUCAUAAACUGAAGGCAU